UACAGAGACUGCAAGCGUUAUUCGGAUUCACUGGGCGUAAAGGGUGCGCAGGCGGUUGGGUGUGUCAGAUGUGAAAUCCCGAGGCUUAACCUCGGAACUGCGUCUGAAACUACUCGACUAGAGUACUGGAGAGGGAAACGGAAUUCACGGUGUAGCAGUGAAAUGCGUAGAUAUCGUGAGGAACACCAGAGGCGAAGGCGGUUUCCUGGACAGUUACUGACGCUCAGGCACGAAAGCAUGGGGAGCAAAAGGGA
rnacentral:rRNA from 1 species